UCAUGAAGAAGUUGUUGCCGCGAGUCAAGAACCUCCUUUUGGUGGUCGUUAUGCUCCACCCUCAGUCCCGGGUGUUUCACGUCCACUUAGUACUACCGUUUCAGGCAGCACAAAUAAACCUAAGGAUGAGGUUGGGUCAGCGGAACCUUCGUCUUCACCGUCCAAGGAUGCUUAAAGUCCUCCUAGAUAAUAACCAGUGGAUGGC
rnacentral:lncRNA from 1 species